rnacentral:rRNA from 1 species
AUCAAACUUUUAAAUUGAAGAGUUUGAUCAUGGCUCAGAUUGAACGCUGGCGGCAGGCCUAACACAUGCAAGUCGAACGGUAACAGGAAGCAGCUUGCUGCUUCGCUGACGAGUGGCGGACGGGUGAGUAAUGUCUGGGAAACUGCCUGAUGGAGGGGGAUAACUACUGGAAACGGUGGCUAAUACCGCAUAACGUCGCAAGACCAAAGAGGGGGACCUUCGGGCCUCUUGCCAUCAGAUGUGCCCAGAUGGGAUUAGCUAGUUGGUGAGGUAACGGCUCACCAAGGCGACGAUCCCUAGCUGGUCUGAGAGGAUGACCAGCCACACUGGAACUGAGACACGGUCCAGACUCCUACGGGAGGCAGCAGUGGGGAAUAUUGCACAAUGGGCGCAAGCCUGAUGCAGCCAUGCCGCGUGUAUGAAGAAGGCCUUCGGGUUGUAAAGUACUUUCAGCGGGGAGGAAGGUGUUGUGGUUAAUAACCGCAGCAAUUGACGUUACCCGCAGAAGAAGCACCGGCUAACUCCGUGCCAGCAGCCGCGGUAAUACGGAGGGUGCAAGCGUUAAUCGGAAUUACUGGGCGUAAAGCGCACGCAGGCGGUCUGUCAAGUCGGAUGUGAAAUCCCCGGGCUCAACCUGGGAACUGCAUUCGAAACUGGCAGGCUUGAGUCUUGUAGAGGGGGGUAGAAUUCCAGGUGUAGCGGUGAAAUGCGUAGAGAUCUGGAGGAAUACCGGUGGCGAAGGCGGCCCCCUGGACAAAGACUGACGCUCA